rnacentral:piRNA from 1 species
UGCAAGGGCUAGUGUAUGCAGAAUACAC